AGUGAACGCUGGCGGUAGGCCUAACACAUGCAAGUCGAACGGCAGCACAGUAAGAGCUUGCUCGUACGGGUGGCGAUUGGCAACCGGUGGGGAAAUACAUCGGAAUCUACUUUCUCGUGGGGGAUAACGUCGGGAAACUUACGCUAAUACCGCAUACGACCUGCGGGUGAAAGCAGGGGUUCUUCGGACAUUGCGUUAUUGAGUGGGCUGGUGUCGGAGUCUCUCGUUGUCGGGGUAGAGGGCCACCAUGGCGACGCUCAGUAGCUGGUCUGAGCGGAUGGUCAGCGACACUGGUACGGAGACACGGUGCACACUCCUACUGGAGGCGGCAGUGGUGAAUAUUGGAGAAUGGGCGCAAGCCGGAUCCAGCCAUACCGCGUGGUUGAAGAUGGCCGUCGUGUUGUAGAGCCCUUUUGUCGGGAAAGAAAAGCAGCAGGUUAAUACCCCGCUGUUCUGACGGUACCCAAAGAAUAAGCACCGGCUAACUUCGUG
rnacentral:rRNA from 1 species